GCAAAGCAGCCAGCAUCACUGGAGUCAGGAGCAACCUGUGAGCAUGCAGCACAAGCACCAGCACAUCGACGUUCCUCUGCUGGGGUUUGGAGGUGAGGCCCUGGGUCUGGUCAUGGGGACUUAAGGGACACGAUUAGCCCUAAAGAUGACAGCGCUAUGGGAUCAGGGCAGCAUCUGGUUUAUAGGGUACAACACAAGCAGCUUCCCAGUGUACAAACAGGCAUAAAACCACACAAGGGUGGAUAAAAGACCCACCCCAGCCUCCCCUUAACACACAACCCGUGUGGCUCUGCUGUGCAGCAGGAGGCUCCCCUAAUCCUCUCCAAGAGAGCUGUUACGCUGGGGGUGGGGGGACAUCAUGGGGGACAGGGAUGUCCUCCCACCCACACCACACGCCUCUUCCCGGCCCCAAAGCCCACAACAAACCCAGACAGACACAGCCCUGCGGUAACCGUCCAAAUCUGCAUUUCCUGCCCCAUUUCUCUCCCUGCAUUGCCACCUGGUGACCACGGGAAGCAGAGCAGCUGCCUUGCAGUUCCUCUUAGCGGUGCUGGAAGGAGUUUCUUAAAGGCAGGGUAAUGGAACCGUUUAGCAAGAGGAAACGAGACAAGAGGAUUUACACGCAUGGAUGUUGCUGUGCUCGUAUUUCUGCUGAUAAUAUCAGGAGCAGGAGGAAAGCCAAAAUGACUUCAAGUGACAGCUCAGCUAUCCCACAGAACGACGAGUGAAUAGUCGGAGUAAACAGCUUAGGAAGCAAAUACAGACAGAAGAAUUAUUCAUCUCAUCCACACGGCAAAUUGCUUGGAAGAAAAAAAAAACAGAGAGGAGGAGCACAGCAGCAGGAGCUGGAAAUGGUGAUGACUUUACCUCCAGGGAAAGAUCUCCACUUAUCAAGAGGAGCUGAAGGCUCAUGGCCAGAACACCGACAAACUUCAGCUGGUGAAGACCAGAUAUUUUGGGUUGUAAGUGGACUUAAAAAUGCUUUUCUUUUUAUUUUAGGGGGAAAUAUUGGCUAAAUGGGAUGAAGAUGGAGACAGUUGCAGAGUGAUAUCAACUACGGACAUUUAUUUGUUGUGGAAACACAGAUCCUAUUUUUUAUGUGACCUGGUUUAUGGCAUAAAUUAAUUCAAUAUUAUGGGAUUCCAGCAUUAUGAGACUUCACAUCAUGGUAGCAUAACUAUAUGCUUAUGUAGUGGCUAAGAAAGGAGAGAUAAAGUUCCAGAGAUGAUAUAUUUGAGUGAUAGAGGGCCUUCAAAGGUACUACAGGCCACAGUAGUGCUGCUGGAAGGCUGACAUUGAAUAUCCCAAGUUGGAAGGGACCCACAGGGAAACCCUUCCCAAUCUACAUAGCCCUCCUUUGGAUGCUCUCUAAUAGCUUUAUGUCCUCAUAUUGUGGCACCCAAACCUGCACACAGUAGACGUGACUGCUUGGAUGGUGUUACGUAUUUCAGUGGUGAUGUGGCAGCUCUGCAAGUCAGGCAAUGGGAUUACCUCAAGUAUGAGGCACUAACGAACAUCCAUUGCUGUCCAGAGCUGCUCCUGGCCUGUUAUGAACAUGCCCUGCCCCUGGAAGUCAGCAGGAAGAGUACAGCCAAUGUCUAUGUGUGCAGCCAAAAUGCCUAUGCAACCCAAAGCCCAAGUGAGUCCGCUGCCCCUGUUCACACUUCUGUCCCAUAGAAAUGAGUUAUUUAAAUUCCAUUCGCAGCCUGACUG